AGGUGGGAGGCUUAGAAGUGUGGACGCCAGUCUGCAUGGAGCCGACCUUGAAAUACCACCCUUUAAUGUUUGAUGUUCUAACGUUGACCCGUAAUCCGGGUUGCGGACAGUGUCUGGUGGGUAGUUUGACUGGGGCGGUCUCCUCCUAAAGAGUAACGGAGGAGCACGAAGGUUGGCUAAUCCUGGUCGGACAUCAGGAGGUUAGUGCAAUGGCAUAAGCCAGCUUGACUGCGAGCGUGACGGCGCGAGCAGGUGCGAAAGCAGGUCAUAGUGAUCCGGUGGUUCUGAAUGGAAGGGCCAUCGCUCAACGGAUAAAAGGUACUCCGGGGAUAACAGGCUGAUACCGCCCAAGAGUUCAUAUCGACGGCGGUGUUUGGCACCUCGAUGUCGGCUCAUCACAUCCUGGGGCUGAAGUAGGUCCCAAGGGUAUGGCUGUUCGCCAUUUAAAGUGGUACGCGAGCUGGGUUUAGAACGUCGUGAGACAGUUCGGUCCCUAUCUGCCGUGGGCGCUGGAGAACUGAGGGGGGCUGCUCCUAGUACGAGAGGACCGGAGUGGACGCAUCACUGGUGUUCGGGUUGUCAUGCCAAUGGCACUGCCCGGUAGCUAAAUGCGGAAGAGAUAAGUGCUGAAAGCAUCUAAGCACGAAACUUGCCCCGAGAUGAGUUCUCCCUGACUCCUUGAGAGUCCUGAAGGAACGUUGAAGACGACGACGUUGAUAGGCCGG
rnacentral:rRNA from 1 species